rnacentral:lncRNA from 1 species
AUUAUGGACAAUUCUACAAAAGGUAAUUUUCCUUUUUAUAAAACUAAAAAUAGUGAUAACUAUUUUAAUUAUAAAAGCGAAAAUGUACGACAUAAUAAAACUGAAGAAAAAAAAAACAAUAAAAAAAAUGUAUUAGAUAGGAACAACUGGGGGGAAGCGAGAACACAUGUUGAUGCAUGUAAAAGUAAAAAUAGAAACGUACCAAAUGCAUCAAACAAUUAUAAAAACGAUCCGAGUCAUUCACAAAUAUAUGAUUUAGAUAAAAACUAUAAUAAUACAAAUUCAAAAUAUAAUAAUAAUUAUUAUGAAGGAGUGAGUAUUGGAGUAACGGGUACGAAUAGUACGGUUAAUGAAAAAGGAGAUAGUUGUAAUAAAAAAAAAAUUUAUACGAAUAAAACAAUAGAUUCUAAAAAAAAAAUAGUAACGGUUGGAACUAACGCAACUGUAGACGGAAUCGGCAUAGGAAAAGCAUACAAAUCGGAAGAUAAAAAUUAUAGUAAUGAAAAAAAUAAAGAUAUAUAUAAUGAACAAUAUAAAAAUAUGUUCAAUAAAUAUGAAAAAAAAAAUACAGUAAAAGAAGAAAAUGUCACUAAAAGUACAACCAAAAAUAUGAAAUAUAAAAAAAAUAACGUUUCAGAGUUAAACCAAUUAUUAAAAGAAAAUUUAAGAAUAGACGAAAAUAUUAAAAGAAAGAAGCAGGAGAGAGUUAUCAAGAGUGUUGAAAAUACGGAUGUGCGGAAUGGUCAGGGUGUGCAGAAUGGUCAGGACGAACAAACUGAACAAACCGAACAUACCGAACAUACCGAACAUACCGAACAUACCGAACAUACCGAACAUACCGAACAUACCGAACAAACCGAACUUACCGAACAAACCGAACUUACCGAACGUACCGAACGUACCGAACAAGUUAAACGCACUAAACGUGCCAAAGCGGAUGAACGUGAAAAAAAUAUAUGUAUCUAUAAUGAUAGGAAUUAUCAAAAUGUAAAAAAUAACAAACUGGUAUAUAAGGAAAAUUACUCUAGAACUAGUAAAAGUAGUACAAAUUCAAAACACGACUACACAGCUAUUUCUAAAAACCAAAGGGAUGAUGAAAAGUUAAAAUAUGAGGUGAAAGAAGAAAAGGAAAUGAAUGUAGAAUAUAAUAUAGACAAAC